rnacentral:rRNA from 1 species
UACAUGCAAGUCGAGCGGACAGAAGGGAGCUUGCUCCCGGAUGUUAGCGGCGGACGGGUGAGUAACACGUGGGUAACCUGCCUGUAAGACUGGGAUAACUCCGGGAAACCGGAGCUAAUACCGGAUAGUUCCUUGAACCGCAUGGUUCAAGGAUGAAAGACGGUUUCGGCUGUCACUUACAGAUGGACCCGCGGCGCAUUAGCUAGUUGGUGGGGUAAUGGCUCACCAAGGCGACGAUGCGUAGCCGACCUGAGAGGGUGAUCGGCCACACUGGGACUGAGACACGGCCCAGACUCCUACGGGAGGCAGCAGUAGGGAAUCUUCCGCAAUGGACGAAAGUCUGACGGAGCAACGCCGCGUGAGUGAUGAAGGUUUUCGGAUCGUAAAGCUCUGUUGUUAGGGAAGAACAAGUGCGAGAGUAACUGCUCGCACCUUGACGGUACCUAACCAGAAAGCCACGGCUAACUACGUGCCAGCAGCCGCGGUAAUACGUAUGUGGCAAGCGUUGUCCGGAAUUAUUGGGCGUAAAGGGCUCGCAGGCGGUUUCUUAAAUCUGAUGUGAAA